UAGUGGCGAACGGGUGAGUAACACGUGGGCAAUCUGCCCUUCACUCUGGGACAAGCCCUGGAAACGGGGUCUAAUACCGGAUACGACACACGACCGCAUGGUCUGUGUGUGGAAAGCUCCGGCGGUGAAGGAUGAGCCCGCGGCCUAUCAGCUUGUUGGUGGGGUGAUGGCCUACCAAGGCGACGACGGGUAGCCGGCCUGAGAGGGCGACCGGCCACACUGGGACUGAGACACGGCCCAGACUCCUACGGGAGGCAGCAGUGGGGAAUAUUGCACAAUGGGCGAAAGCCUGAUGCAGCGACGCCGCGUGAGGGAUGACGGCCUUCGGGUUGUAAACCUCUUUCAGCAGGGAAGAAGCGAGAGUGACGGUACCUGCAGAAGAAGCGCCGGCUAACUACGUGCCAGCAGCCGCGGUAAUACGUAGGGCGCAAGCGUUGUCCGGAAUUAUUGGGCGUAAAGAGCUCGUAGGCGGCUUGUCACGUCGGAUGUGAAAGCCCGGGGCUUAACCCCGGGUCUGCAUUCGAUACGGGCAGGCUAGAGUUCGGUAGGGGAGAUCGGAAUUCCU
rnacentral:rRNA from 1 species